rnacentral:rRNA from 1 species
UACAGAGGGGGCAAGCGUUAUUCGGAAUCACUGGGCGUAAAGCGCACGUAGGCGGCUUUCUAAGUCAGGGGUGAAAUCCUGGAGCUCAACUCCAGAACUGCCUUUGAUACUGGAGAGCUUGAGUCCGGAAGAGGUGAGUGGAACUCCGAGUGUAGAGGUGAAAUUCGUAGAUAUUCGGAAGAACACCAGUGGCGAAGGCGGCUCACUGGUCCGGUACUGACGCUGAUGUGCGAAAGCGUGGGGAGCAAACAGG